UACGAAGGGGGCUAGCGUUGCUCGGAAUCACUGGGCGUAAAGCGCACGUAGGCGGAUUGUUAAGUCAGGGGUGAAAUCCUGGAGCUCAACUCCAGAACUGCCUUUGAUACUGGCGAUCUCGAGUCCGGGAGAGGUGAGUGGAACUGCGAGUGUAGAGGUGAAAUUCGUAGAUAUUCGCAAGAACACCAGUGGCGAAGGCGGCUCACUGGCCCGGUACUGACGCUGAGGUGC
rnacentral:rRNA from 1 species